rnacentral:pre_miRNA from 1 species
UUAACCCGAUUUUGUAUGCAGUUGGAACGUUUGCUUACGUUUGCCGCUAGGGGCGCUGUUCCAACUCCAUACAAAUUUGAGUUA